AGCGAACGCUGGCGGCAGGCCUAACACAUGCAAGUCGAACGAACCCUUCGGGGUUAGUGGCGGACGGGUGAGUAACACGUGGGAACGUGCCUUUAGGUUCGGAAUAACUCAGGGAAACUUGUGCUAAUACCGAAUGUGCCCUUCGGGGGAAAGAUUUAUCGCCUUUAGAGCGGCCCGCGUCUGAUUAGCUAGUUGGUGAGGUAAUGGCUCACCAAGGCUACGAUCAGUAGCUGGUCUGGGAGGAUGACCAGCCACAUUGGGACUGAGACACGGCCCAAACUCCUACGGGAGGCAGCAGGGGGGAAUCUUGCGCAAUGGGCGAAAGCCUGACGCAGCCAUGCCGCGUGGAUGAUGAAGGUCUUAGGAUUGUAAAAUCCUUUCACCGGUGAAGAUAAUGACUGUAGCCGGAGAAGAAGCCCCGGCUAACUUCGUGCCAGCCGCCGCCGUAAAAC
rnacentral:rRNA from 1 species